rnacentral:rRNA from 1 species
CCUACGGGCGGCAGCAGUGAGGAAUAUUGGUCAAUGGACGAGAGUCUGAACCAGCCAAGUAGCGUGAAGGAUGACUGCCCUAUGGGUUGUAAACUUCUUUUAUAAAGGAAUAAAACGAGGCACGUGUGCCUUUUUGCAUGUACUUUAUGAAUAAGGAUCGGCUAACUCCGGGCCAGCAGCCGCGGUAAUACGGAGGAUCCGAGCGUUAUCCGGAUUUAUUGGGUUUAAAGGGAGCGUAGAUGGGUUGUUAAGUCAGUUGUGAAAGGUUGCGGCUCAACCGUAAAAUUGCAAUUGAUACUGGCAGUCUUGAGUACAGUUGAGGUAGGCGGAAUUCGUGGUGUAGCGGUGAAAUGCUUAGAUAUCACGAAGAACCCCGAUUGCGAAGGCAGCUUACUAAACUGUGACUGACAUUGAUGCUCGAAAGUGUGGGUAUCAAACAGGAUUAGAUACCCCAGUAGUC